rnacentral:rRNA from 1 species
UACGUAGGGGGCAAGCGUUGUCCGGAUUUAUUGGGCGUAAAGAGCUCGUAGGCGGCUUGUUGCGUCGGCUGUGAAAACCCGUGGCUUAACUGCGGGCUUGCAGCUGAUACGGGCGGGCUGGAGUUCGGUAGGGGAGACUGGAAUUCCUGGUGUAGCGGUGAAAUGCGCAGAUAUCGGGAAGAACACCCGUGGCGAAGGCGGCUCUCUGGGACGGUACUGACGCUGAGACGCGAAAGCGUGGGGAGCGAACAGG